ACUUGUUGCGGGGCCAUGAGCUGUGGGCGCCCGCGGCAUCAGACAAACACUCUGCCACGGGAACAUCGUGGCAUUUUCGGGCGUU
rnacentral:sRNA from 24 species